UCGUGGCCCAGUGGGUAGAGUGAUGCACUUUGAGUUUGGCGUGAGGGAAGUGAGGGGCGCGUAGGUUCGAACCCCCCUCUCGGAACUCACAAAAACCUUGAAAGAGCAUCCCUCCAUCACCAUGUGUGAUGGAACUGCCCACGGGGAGGAGGGGAGGUGAGUGCGCAGCACCUCCCUAUCCCUCCCCAGGGGAGGAAGGCACCGCCUUACCGGCCCCCGGGAGAGCAAGGGAGGUGAGUGCACAGCGCUUCCCUUCUCUCCCCUACCUAACCCUGGCAAGUCUACGGACUACCAGGCAAAAAAUAAUAAAAAUAAAAAAAAAUAAAAAAAAAACAAAAAAAAUAAAAAAAUAAAUAAAUAAAGAUAAGUGCAUAGCACUUCUCUUCUCUCCACCUAACAGAAUAAAAAAUAUAAAGGUGAGUGCAUAGCACUUCCCUUGUCUCCGGCAAAAGAUAGAAAAGAAAAAAUAAAGAAUUAAGGUGAGUGCAUAGCACUUCCCUUGUCUCCUAACCUACCACGCAAAAAAAAAAAAAAAAAAUAAAUAAAUAAAAUAAAAUAAAUAAAUAAAUAAAGAUAAAUAAAUAAAUAAAUAAAAAUAAAUAAAAACCUCCUUACCACCUCGGACCUCGGGAGAGCAAGGGAGGUGAGUGCACAGCACUUCCCUUCUCUCCCCAAGUCUACGGACUGCCAGACCAAAAAGAAUAAAAUAUAUAUAGGUAUAAAAAAUAAUAAAAGUAAUAAAAAAAAGAUAAAUGAAAAAAUAAGUAAAUAAAACAAAAACAAUAAAACUCCUACUCCCCCCUCAAUAAAACUGACUGAGUCUGGCAAUCAACAAUAAAUAAUAAAAAUAAAACAAUACCAACUGACUGACCCUGACAACCCCAAAGACCACCACCCACCUGGGAAGCACGGGAGGUGAGUGUGCAGCACCUCCCUACCCUUCCCAGUCUCCCAGUUUGACUUUGACCACCAAUCUGACUCAUCCUACCAACUCCAAAGAGCAACUCCAACUGUACAGACCACCACCACCACCACCCUUCUGAUCUCGGCAAGGUGAGUGCGUAGCACUUCCCUGGACUGACCCUGACUGACUGACCCUGGCAACUCCAAAAACAACCAACCUGACUGACUUACAGAUAUGUAAUCACCUAACUGACUGGCCCUGGGGAGCAUGGGAGGUGAGUGUGCAGCACCUCCCUACACUUCCCAGUCUCCCAGUUUGACCUGACUCAUCCUGGCAACUUCAAAGAACAACUCCAAAUGUACAGACCAACAGUACCUCCUACUCUGUGUCCCACUCUGACCCUGAUCCAUACAUCCCUACAUCCUACCCUGUCCUGGCUAGGUGAGUGCGUAGCACUUCCCUACCACCUGCCUUACUGACCCUGGCAACCAUAAAAACAACCAACCUGACUGACCUACAAAUCUUACUGUAAUCUGGCAACAGACCACCAAACUGACUGACUCUGGGGAGCAUGGGAGGUGAGUGUGCAGCACCUCCCUACCCUUCCCAGUCUCCCAGUUUGGCUUUGACCACCAAUGUGACUCAUCCUACCAACUCCAAAUGUACAGACCACCACCACCACCCCUCUGAUCUUGGCAAGGUGAGUGCGUAGCACUUCCCUUGACUGAGUGGGCCUGACUGACUGACCCCCGCAACUUCAAAAACAACCAAUCUGACAAAUGUUACAAAUGUAACCUGGGGAGCAUGGGAGGUGAGUGUGCAGCACCUCCCUACCCUUCCCUACCCUUCCCAAAAUAAAUGAAAAAUAAAAAAAUAAAUAAAAACAAAAAUAAAUAAAGUAAAAACAAUAAAACUCCUACUUCCCCCUCAAUAAAAUGACUGAGUCUGGCAAUCAACAAUAAAUAAUAAAAAUAAAACAAUACCAACCUGACUGACCCUGACAACUCCAAAGACCACCACCCCACCUGGGAAGCACGGGAGGUGAGUGUGCAGCACCUCCCUACCCUUCCCAGCCUUCUAGUUUGACUUUGAUCCCCAAUCUGACUCAUCCUAGGAACUCUAAUUGUACCGACCACCACCAGUACUCCCCACCCUGGCAACUGAUCCUGGCAAGGUGAGUGCGUAGCACUUCCCGUGACUCAUCCUGGCAACUCCAAAGACCCACCAUCCUGACCGCCCCUGGGAAGCACGGGAGGUGAGUGUGCAGCACCUCCCUACACUUCCCAGUCUCCCAGUUUGACUUUGACCACCAAUGUGACUCAUCCUACCAACUCCAAAUGUACACACCACCACCACCACCCCUCUGAUCUUGGCAAGGUGAGUGCGUAGCACUACCCUUGACUGACGGGGCCUGACUGACUGAUCCCGGCAACUCCAAAAACAACCAACCUGACUGAUGUUACAAAUGUAACCUGGGGAGCAUGGGAGGUGAGUGUGCAGCACCUCCCUACCCUUCCCAGUCUUCCACCAACCUGACUUGCAUUAUGACUGGGGAGCAAGGGAGGUGAGUGUGCAGUACUCCUACUAUCCCCACUCUGAAUACCCUAUCACCAACCAAUUCAGACCACCAAAAUGUGUUAGAAGAACAAGAACAGGAAGCAACGCCAUCAGAGGAAGAAGAAGCAGCAGCAGCAGCAUUACCGCCAUCAGAGGAAGAAAACAAGAAAAAGAAGCAAAGAAAAAGAAUUACCACCACUGUUAUCGGAGGAAGAAACAGCAGCGUCACCGCCAUCAGAGGAAGAAACAUAUAUAUGUAAACUACGACUGGUCAAACUUUCUGUGGCACCAGGCUAAGUUCGACCUGUGAUGGGCUGUGUUUAGCGACGCCUUGAGAUGAGAGGGAAAAAAGUUCCAGGGGUUCAUGAAAGGAAAGUACGCUAACAGGGGACUGAUUGUGAAAGUGCCAGGCAAGGCUGCUGCUUCAGACAUCCACACUUCAACUUCAACUA